UACAGAGGGGGCAAGCGUUAUUCGGAAUUAUUGGGCGUAAAGGGCGCGUAGGCGGCUUGGCAAGUGGAUGGUGAAAUCCCUCGGCUUAACCGAGGAACUGCCGUCCAAACUGCUUCGCUUGAGACCGGGAGAGGUGAGUGGAAUUCCCAGUGUAGCGGUGAAAUGCGUAGAUAUUGGGAGGAACACCAGUGGCGAAGGCGGCUCACUGGACCGGUACUGACGCUGAAGCGCGAAAGCGUGGGGAGCAAACAGG
rnacentral:rRNA from 1 species